CUUCCAGGAAAAGCCUCUAAGCUUCAGAUAGUCAGGAAUCGUACCCCAAACCGACACAGGUGGUCGGGUAGAGAAUACCAAGGCGCUUGAGAGAACUCGGGUGAAGGAACUAGGCAAAAUGGUACCGUAACUUCGGGAGAAGGUACGCUCUUGAUGGUGAAGUCCCUCGCGGAUGGAGCUGACGAGAGUCGCAGAUACCAGGUGGCUGCAACUGUUUAUUAAAAACACAGCACUGUGCAAAAUCGCAAGAUGACGUAUACGGUGUGACGCCUGCCCGGUGCCGGAAGGUUAAUUGAUGGGGUUAGCGCAAGCGAAGCUCUUGAUCGAAGCCCCGGUAAACGGCGGCCGUAACUAUAACGGUCCUAAGGUAGCGAAAUUCCUUGUCGGGUAAGUUCCGACCUGCACGAAUGGCGUAAUGAUGGCCACGCUGUCUCCACCCGAGACUCAGUGAAAUUGAAAUCGCUGUGAAGAUGCAGUGUACCCGCGGCUAGACGGAAAGACCCCGUGAACCUUUACUACAGCUUGGCACUGAACAUUGAACCUACAUGUGUAGGAUAGGUGGGAGGCUAUGAAGACGUGACGCCAGUUGCGUUGGAGCCGUCCUUGAAAUACCACCCUUGUAUGUUUGAUGUUCUAACUUAGACCCGUUAUCCGGGUUGAGGACAGUGCCUGGUGGGUAGUUUGACUGGGGCGGUCUCCUCCCAAAGAGUAACGGAGGAGCACGAAGGUGGGCUAAUCACGGUUGGACAUCGUGAGGUUAGUGCAAUGGCAUAAGCCCGCUUAACUGCGAGAAUGACGGUUCGAGCAGGUGCGAAAGCAGGUCAUAGUGAUCCGGUGGUUCUGUAUGGAAGGGCCAUCGCUCAACGGAUAAAAGGUACUCCGGGGAUAACAGGCUGAUACCGCCCAAGAGUUCAUAUCGACGGCGGUGUUUGGCACCUCGAUGUCGGCUCAUCACAUCCUGGGGCUGAAGUCGGUCCCAAGGGUAUGGCUGUUCGCCAUUUAAAGUGGUACGCGAGCUGGGUUUAGAACGUCGUGAGACAGUUCGGUCCCUAUCUGCCGUGGGCGUUGGAAGAUUGAAGGGGGCUGCUCCUAGUACGAGAGGACCGGAGUGGACGAACCUCUGGUGUUCGGGUUGUGUCGCCAGACGCAUUGCCCGGUAGCUAAGUUCGGAAUUGAUAAGCGCUGAAAGCAUCUAAGCGCGAAGCGAGCCCUGAGAUGAGUCUUCCCUGAUACUUUAAGUAUCCUAAAGGGUUGUUCGAGACUAGAACGUUGAUAGGCAGGGUGUGUAAGCGUUGUGAGGCGUUGAGCUAACCUGUACUAAUUGCCCGUGAGGCUUAACCAU
rnacentral:rRNA from 1 species